ACCGCAAAUGCGGGCAGCGAACCCCAACGAGGGGGGGGCAGUGCUGCACGGGGAGAGGAAAAUGUUAAAAAGCAAUAAAACGACGGUAAAUGCGUUCCCACAGGUGACUCGGGAGCUGGGGACAUCCUCACACCCGGCACAGCAAAUCCAGCUGAACAUCUCCAGCACUUCACUGAGCCCCGAACUUGUCACUUCUCAGCCCAGCCUCAUUCAGAAACUCACCCCAAGGAGCAGCCUUCCCCCUUCCCUGCACGGGCAAAAAUACAUUUUUUGAGUAGAAGAGUCUCCCCAUCAGCCUGGCAAAGCAGACUGGAGAGUUUCCAUCUCAUGGAGAGCACACUGUUUCCACAGUUUCCUGAAACAUGGAGAGAAUAAAAUACAGCAAAAGAAGUUUAACAUCAACAGCUCUCAUCAUCUCAGCACAUUUUUAGCCAAAUUCUCUUUGCUACUUACACAAGAGUGGCACCUGCACACAGCUUCACUCAGGCAGGCUUUGGGGCAUCAGCAAAGUGCUCACACCACACUGUAAAAAUAACCCUCAAAUCACUGCCAGGCUAGCAGGAAUCACAUGAGGAGUCUGUCACAGAUUAAAUAUUGUUAUAUUAAACCUGGAUUCCAGCUUCAUCACACCUCAAAAUAAGCAGCUCUGCAUACUUUUAAACAUUCAGGUUAUUUUUUUAAAUAACUUUGGUAUGAAUAUACUUUAUUCCCAGUUUGACUACACAGUUCUUCACAAUCACAGGCCAAGUGCUCAGUGUGCAGUACUGUUAAAUCUGCAUUUUGUGGUUUUCACCUGGAGGUAAGAAGAAACACUUCAAACCCAGCAACAGCUGGUACUGCCACACGUGUGUGUGUGUGUGUGUGCAUCAGGAGCAAAAAUCAAACAUUUUCAGUUAUUCUGAUCGUGAGGACGGAAGCCAGGAGGAAUGAGAGAUGGAAACAACCCUGGAAAUCAGCUUGUCCAUCUCCCUGCCAGUGGAAAACUGAGAACAAGCAACACUCCACAGCUGCUCUGGCACUCCUUUAGCAUCAGCCAAACUGCCCUUCUGAGCCAUUCUGGCUGGGGUCAGAGAUUGGUUUUGUAUUCCUGUAUUGGUUCUGUAUUCCUGUAUUGGUUCUGCAUUCCUGAACUAAGCCCACCCUCAUUCUCUGGAACUCCCUCAGAGGCUUUGGCACAUGGCAGCCAUCACCUCUGUUUAGCCAAUUUCCUUCCUGAGAAAGUUCAUUCCAAACCAAUUCUUUUUUCCUGCCUGCUCAGAGCCUUUCCCAAGGUCAGUGUGGUCCAACACCAGCACCUGGGUUUUCCCCACAUCCACUGCUCAGGAGAGAUCUCAGAACCUGCUGAAGUCUGGAGCAGCUUUUUUUCCCUUACAGCAAGGCUGGGAACCCUUCCUUUAGCUCUCUGGAGACCAGGAGAGGGUACAUCCCACCCAGCAGUCUUGGGGAAAAGACAAGUGAGCAGGCAGUGGGGAAUGCCCCUGGCACAGGAACAAUCCUCUCCCUGCAGAAAGCAGGGCUCUGGAUGGGACAGCAGAGGACAUCCCAACUGAAGAUUCCCUGCUGCAAAGCCAUGGGAAGAACCCAAGCCCAGGCUGAUUGAAUGGGACUGAACUGGUGUGGCUGGGCCAGUUCAGGAGCAACCAGAGAACUGCAGGAGGCUCAUUGCAGUUAACUUCUUGUCACCUGGCCUGCCAAGGACCCAGCAGGGUGCAGGUAUCUGUCACCAGGGCAGGGAGGUGACACAGGACAGCACCACCUUCCUCAGCAGCAUCCCAGGCCAGGAGAGUUCUCAGCAGCCAUCCCUGCUCGGGGCAGGGCCAGCAGGAUGGAGCUCCUGGAGCAGCCCUGGCUGCCCUGCUGAGCCAGUCCCUGUGGGCAGCAGCUCUGCACGCCGUGUUCCCCAGAGCCCAGCACCUGUGUCACGCAGACACGGGACACAGUCUCUCCAAGAAGUCUGCUCUCUUGUGCUCCAGGGCCUGCAGGAAGCCCUGGAUCCUCUCCUCCCUCAGGGCCGUGCAUUUCUGCAGCAGCGUGCGCCGGCGCCGCGAGUCUCCGUGGGCCACACUCCCCUCCUGCUGCAGCUUCUUGGUCACGUAAGCCUGGUCCCUCUCCAUCUGCUGCCGCCUCCUCUCCUCCAGGUAGGAGUCUCUGGCCUUCUGGAGUGAAAAGCAGCGAGUGUUAGCACGUUCCCAGGCCUCUGAGCUCACCUGGGGAACGGGGCACAAACAGCCCGGCCGUGGAGCUGCAGGUUCACUGCAGGGUCUGCCUCUUCCACCUUGAGACAGCCUGCUCAAGAAAUACAGGGAUAUCCUCCUGGGCUUUCCCUCCAAGACACAGCUCUGCCCAGAGCAUUAACUCCUAGUUAGAACAGAUAAAAGGACAGAUUUGGAAAAACCCUCAGAUAGUGGAAUCAGAGAGGAACAGCUACAGGAGAACUCCUGAACCCCAGACAUGCACACUCUUAUCCUCACCAGUGUUAUCACAGCAGUUUUGAUCCUAUUCCCCUGGCUGCUGAAAGGUUUCAGGGGAUUCCAAACCAUGACUUACAGGGCAAUUCUUUGAGAUGAUCCAGUAUUGAGCUAUUCAGCUUUAAAACAAAAGCAGGAAUAAGCUCAGCAUUCCCAAAUUUCUGUGAUCUAAGGGUGCACUGGCUUGAGACACAGCAGGAGAAAAGCAAAGGCAGGAGUCAUCCUUGUCUACCCUUCAAGUAUUUGAAAUAUUUUGUUGUAGAACAUCACUUUUAGAUUUCUCCUUAUUGCACACGUCCUGGCCUGCAGCUCCCAACAGCAAAAAAAAAAAAAAAAUCAGCAGGGAGGAAUAUUGAGGUUCUGCUUUUAAAAACUGUAAAACUGGUCACUGUGACAUAAACUGACACACACACACUUGGGAAGUGCUGGUCUUUCAAACAAGCAAGAAGAAUAAUUACUCUAAUGAGAGCCUGACUCACUCAUCCCCACACUUUCCCUGAGCCCAAGGCAGCUAGAGCUCUGGAAAUUAGCUUUUGUUGUGCUGGCACUGUGAGCAGCAGUGUCCCCAGCAAACCCACUGAAGGGAUGCUCUCCAGGGCUGACCUGCACUGCAGGGAUCAUCAGCCUGCUGAGCAGAAGACUUCCACCCUCAAGGUGCAAUGCUGUUUAUUGCCCAGAGCAGACUCAGCUCGCCACUGCAGGGGCAGGCUGGCCCUGCACUCCUGCCCAAGAUCCACCAGCUGCCAAAAGCAGGGUCCAGCUGCUGCUGGCACUCCAUGGACAGCAACAACCAGCUGGGAAAGAAAAUGGCAGCCACUAAAAGUGGUGCUGUUUGAGCUGGUGGAAGGAGAAUAUCUUUUGUCCACUACCUCCAAAACAAGGGGGGUUUCUGUACCUUGUCUCCCCUUCCAUCCUGUGCCCAUCCACACCCCAAAAGCAGCAGCACGCUCCCAAAGCAGACACAGCUGCUGUAAAACAUCCUGGCCUCUCAGCAAGGCCUCUCCAGCCCCAUCAUCCUCACUGACAGCAACCCUUCCACCAAGAGAAUUUGCUUCGCGACCUCUUUUGGAUUUCAAGAUCACCUAUUUUAAAUUUAAAAAGACCCAGCUCCUAAAUCUCAGUUCCUCUGAGGGAGAAGAACUCCCUUUGCACAAUUGUGAGGGUUCCCUGGAAAAAAGGGCAGCCUCAGACACUGCAAAGUGGCUCUUACAGGGAGAAAACUGACCAGAGAGCAAAUGUGGACAAUGAGAAACCUUGAUAAUAGCAUGGCAUGAACACAUCCAGCCACCAACCAGAACUAGGAAAAGAUGAGGAUAGCUGGGAACAGAAGCUGCAUUUGUUGCCUGUCAGAAACCAGCACCAGGAGCAAAGUCAGAACAGUGACCUUACUGUUCCAGACAGAGGCCAAGCUCAUGGCAAUGACAAACACUACUGCCUUUUUUGCUUCCCUCUUCAUGCAGAAGGUGAACUGCCAUUAGUUGAACUAAUACAAUGAAUUGCUGGUAGGAAAAGGGCAGACUUGGGCCAGAAAUAGGAACAAAAGAGGUUAAGGACAUGGGAGAGUUUGGAUGCUGCCAGACUGGCUGCACUUGAUUAAAUUCAGCCAUAACCACAACUGGCCAUAAUCUCUUUGACAGCUCUCAGGGGUGAGCAAGGUCCCUGAAGGUAGAAAAGGGCAAUGCAAUGCCUAUUUUUAAAAAGAGGACCCAAAUAAUUAAGGAACAGACACAUUCAGCAGCGAGAUGUGGUGGGGAUGAAGAGCUGCCAUGCUGAGGCCCUCCUGCUGUCACUGCUGCCUCUGUGUCACCAGCAGCUGGCCCCCACAUUGCUCCAUCAAGAGUUCCAGCUCCCACACUUGUUUUGCUUAAAAAUAGCCAAACUCCUAUGUCACUACUGCAUUGGCCAGCUGUAUCAGAACCAGGUCAGGGAGAGCUCCCAGCAACAGAUCUAAAAGGAGAGGAACAAUGUCAGUGAGCAGUAGGAACAAUCCCUUCAGCAGGUACAUCUGGACCCACCAGAAAGAGGCCACUUGUGCACAGACUCACAGCUCAGGCUGCCUCAUUUCAGCUCCCAGAAAGGAAACUCCACACCCACUUGUUACAACCCUAAAAACAAUAGUAGAGUUAAGGAAGAGCAUGUGAGCACUCCCUGCUUGUUCCAGUGUGAGACAGAUUCCACCCUGUGGCAGAGCAGCAGUCUCACUGGGUGUGUGAGCCCUGGGACAGAUGCUCCAGCUGCUGGAAUGAGCAAUGAGUAACACAGACAGUGCUGACUUUGGGUAUUUUGGGUCUUGCUGAAAGUAGAGGAGUCUGGCCACACACCAAGACCUUGUAACAAGCCACAGGGGUACAGGAGGAGCAGCACAUGAGCUGCUACUGAAAGAAGAUCUUAACCAACACGCACUGCUCCCACUUUGCAGCCUCUCACCUGAUCUCCAGCUGUGUGCGGGUGACACAUGGGCGUGGGCUUUCCACUUCCCCAAGGCUCCCUUACCUGUAAAGCACUGUAGUUCAUCUGGAACUGAAGGAUAGCUUCACACAAGUUCCAAAAGGAAUAUUCUGGCCACAAGACUGAUUGAAACACCAGGCAUGAAUGGGAUGUCUGCAGAAAGCAAGACCACCAAUAAUUUAAUCACUGAGCAAGAGAAAGUCAUUAAGAUGCAACUCUGUUGGGCAAACCAUCCCACUUUCCCCACCAAAGUUUUACCUAGGCUGUGUUAUCAGAUUCUACUUAAAGUGAGGUAAAAACCAGCUAGAAGAGUCUGAAAUUGCACAAUGCAGAGCCCUUCUAAUUAAUUUUCAAUGCUGGGACACCAGUCAUCCACUCCUGCAAAGGCAUCAGCAGAAUCCUUUCUAAUGCUGUGUUGGUCUUCAGAGAGGUAUUUUUAAUAGCUUAAGCAUCACAGACUUAUAAAAACCUAAAAUAGCAACACUGGAGUACCAAAGGCUAAGGGAAUAACAGUUGAACUGAGGAUCAGGACAUGACAUUUAAGCCAUUCUUCAAAUGACAUCUCAUGAUAUUCCUUCCUGCCCACUGGUGGCAUUUAAAUUGCUUAAUGAAGCCAAGAGUUGUGGUGCACUGAAGAUAUCCUUGAGCUGGAUGAUGAAAGAUUUCAAGUCAAAACCUAUUUUUGCCACCAAGUUCCUCCCGGUUUGAGGUAAAUAUGUUCCUAUGAUGACUGCUAAAACAAUCCAACACUUAACAGGACUCCUCUACCACCGAGAGGAGCAAGCAAAGUGACACCACCCAGGGUAUGGGUGUGCCCAAAAAUAGGGGGAGGAGAGGGGAUGCCUUGGUAGGUAAGCACAGCUCAGGCCAGACAACUUCUGAGAACUUGCCAAUUAAGUAAUUUGGAAUGGGAAUAAUUUGAUGUGGUUGCCUAAAGGCGAGUGGGUUUUGGCUCCAAACUGUACAUGUAAAAUAACAUGUGAGCUUCAGCUGAAGCAACUCCACUCACAUGUUCUCUACAAACAAGAAAUUAUCUAAAGGUGAGGAGAGGAGCCAAGGGAUGAGAAUUCAUGAUUUUAGGCAAACACAGAUCUGCCAGAAACAGAUUGCUCAGAGGUGCCCCAGCACCCAGUCCAUCCUGAAGUUACCUGACCCCAGCAGAAGCAGAUUCAGAGCCCUCACAUCUGCUUGUACCUGCAGUCAGUGGAACACCAGCACUCUCUGAGGCAAAGAUGGACCAUCCCAAGGAGAGAACACAGACUUUACCUGCCACAGCAAGAAGUCACUGAGGCGAACCUCUCCCGAGGUCCUUAUGAGCAGGUCUGGGUCGGGGGAGUUGUUGGUGUACAGACAUUUAUCCAGCAGUGAUUCAGACACGUCACUGAAAGAGACACAGUUUAUCAGACACCCUUCCUACCUGAUGCAUGUGCCACAAACCACAGUUAAGGGGUUUUAUGCAAACUCAGGGCUGCAAGUUAAAACUGGGUGGUGGAGCUGAACCACAGACAGUCAUUGACUUGCUUCUUUUAGACACUGCUGUCUGCUCCACAGGCUAUUCCAAAUGCUAUUCCAGCCCCCAGAGCAUCCCACUCCUGCUCUUUGAAACAUAACACAGUGGUGGAAGCAGACUGUGAGGGCUUCCAUCUGGAGCAGAGCAGAGUGUAACUAUUCCUUCUCCUUCAGGGUGGAGGAACAGUGCAGCAUUCAUGAUUCAUCUGUUGUUUGACCUCAUAGCUAAGACUGUCAGCCAAGCAGCCAAUUGUUGUGGCAUAAAAUCUGCCUUCACAUUUAAACUAACUUAAGACACAGACCUAAUUUCUCUUCUGUCUUGGUUGUGUAUCUAUCGCCACGGCAACUGAAAUAAUAAAAGCCAAACAUUGCAUAGUAA